UUUGGAGACGUAGAGAUC
rnacentral:misc_RNA from 1 species